CUUGGGGACUGUCUUGUUGGUUGAUGCUCCGAGUAAUGAUUAACAGGAACGGUUGGGGGUGUUUAUACUAUCAUGUUAGUGGUGAAAUACUUUGAUCAUGAUAAGAUAAACUGCUGCGAAGGCGUUCACCAGGGACGUUUUCAUUAAUCAAGAACGAGAGCUGCGGGAUCGAAGAGGAUUAGAUACCCUCGUAGUCGCAGCUGUAAACUAUACCGACUCGGGAUUGGUCAUUUGUCAUUUUUCGACAUGAUCAGCACCGUAUGAGAAAUCAAAGUCUUUGGGUUCCGGGGGGAGUAUGGUCGCAAGGCUGAAACUUAAAGGAAUUGACGGAAGGGCACCACCAGGAGUGGAGCCUGCGGCUUAAUUUGACUCAACACGGGGAAACUCACC
rnacentral:rRNA from 1 species